AGCAGCCGCGGUAAUUCCAGCUCCAAUAGCGUAUAUUAAAGUUGUUGCAGUUAAAAAGCUCGUAGUUGAAUUUCGGGACCAAUAUGUUGGUCGUGCCUAGGUACGUACUGUCAUGAUUGGUUUCUCCCUUCUGAAGAGCCACGAUGCCAUUAAUUUGGUGUCGUGGGGAAUCAGGACUGUUACUUUGAAAAAUUAGAGUGUUUAAAGCAGGCUCGCGCUUGAAUACAUUAGCAUGGAAUAAUGAAAUAGGACGUUUGAUUCUAUUUUGUUGGUUUCUAGGAUCGACGUAAUGAUUAAUAGGGAUAGUUGGGGGCAUUAGUAUUCAGUUGUCAGAGGUGAAAUUCUUGGAUUUAUUGAAG
rnacentral:sRNA from 1 species